ACACAGAUGGGGAACCUGGAGAGAGA
rnacentral:piRNA from 1 species